rnacentral:rRNA from 1 species
UAGAGCCUACCAUGGUGGUAACGGGUAACGGGGUGUUAGGGCACGACACCGGAGAGGGAGCCUGAGAAACGGCUACCACAUCCAAGGAUGGCAGCAGGCGCGCAAAUUACCCAAUCCCGACACGGGGAGGUAGUGACAAUAAAUAACAAUACGGGGUUCUUUAGGAUCUCGUAAUUGGAAUGAGUACAAUUUAAAUCUCUUAACGAGGAACAAUUGGAGGGCAAGUCUGGUGCCAGCAGCCGCGGUAAUUCCAGCUCCAAUAGCGUAUAUUAAAGUUGUUGCAGUUAAAAAGCUCGUAGUUGAAUUUCGGGGUUAGUAGGUUGGUCAUGCCUCUGGUAUGUACUGGUCUCACUGAUUCCUCCUUCCUGAUGAUCCGUAAUGCCAUUAAUUUGGUGUUGCGGGGAAUUUGGACUGUUACUUUGAAAAAAUUAGAGUGUUUAAAGCAAGCUAACGCUUGAAUACAUUAGCAUGGAAUAAUGAAAUAGGACGUUCGACCCUAUUUUGUUGGUUUCUAGGAUUGACGUAAUGAUUAAUAGGGAUAGUUGGGGGCAUUAGUAUUCAAUUGUCAGAGGUGAAAUUCUUGGAUUUAUUGAAGACUAACUACUGCGAAAGCAUUUGCCAAGGAUGUUUUCAUUAAUCAAGAACGAAAGUUAGGGGAUCGAAGACGAUCAGAUACCGUCGUAGUCUUAACCAUAAACUAUGCCGACUCGGGAUCGGAUGAUGUUAAUUUUUUAAUGACUCAUUCGGCGCCUUACGGGAAACCA